CCUACGGGAGGCAGCAGUGGGGAAUAUUGCACAAUGGGCGCAAGCCUGAUGCAGCGACGCCGCGUGAGGGAUGACGGCCUUCGGGUUGUAAACCUCUUUCACCAGGGACGAAGCGCAAGUGACGGUACCUGGAGAAGAAGCACCGGCCAACUACGUGCCAGCAGCCGCGGUAAUACGUAGGGUGCAAGCGUUGUCCGGAAUUACUGGGCGUAAAGAGCUCGUAGGCGGUUUGUCGCGUCGUCUGUGAAAUUCUGCAGCUUAACUGCAGGCGUGCAGGCGAUACGGGCAGACUUGAGUACUACAGGGGAGACUGGAAUUCCUGGUGUAGCGGUGAAAUGCGCAGAUAUCAGGAGGAACACCGGUGGCGAAGGCGGGUCUCUGGGUAGUAACUGACGCUGAGGAGCGAAAGCGUGGGUAGCGAACAGGAUUAGAUACCCUGGUAGUCCACGCCGUAAACGGUGGGUACUAGGUGUGGGUUCCUUUUCACGGGAUCCGUGCCGUAGCUAACGCAUUA
rnacentral:rRNA from 1 species